UACGUAGGGCGCAAGCGUUGUCCGGAAUUAUUGGGCGUAAAGAGCUCGUAGGCGGUCUGUUGCGUCCGCUGUGAAAACCCAGGGCUUAACCCUGGGCUUGCAGUGGAUACGGGCAGACUAGAGGCAGGUAGGGGAGAAUGGAAUUCCCGGUGUAGCGGUGAAAUGCGCAGAUAUCGGGAGGAACACCAAUGGCGAAGGCAGCUCGCUGGGACGGUACUGACGCUGAGACGCGAAAGCGUGGGGAGCAAACAGG
rnacentral:rRNA from 1 species